rnacentral:rRNA from 1 species
AUUGAACGCUGGCGGCAUGCCUUACACAUGCAAGUCGAACGGUAACGCGGGGCAACCUGGCGACGAGUGGCGAACGGGUGAGUAAUAUAUCGGAACGUGCCCAGUAGUGGGGGAUAGCCCGGCGAAAGCCGGAUUAAUACCGCAUGAGACCUGAGGGUGAAAGCGGGGGAUCGCAAGACCUCGCGCUAUUGGAGCGGCCGAUAUCAGAUUAGGUAGUUGGUGGGGUAAAGGCCUACCAAGCCGACGAUCUGUAGCUGGUCUGAGAGGACGACCAGCCACACUGGGACUGAGACACGGCCCAGACUCCUACGGGAGGCAGCAGUGGGGAAUUUUGGACAAUGGGCGCAAGCCUGAUCCAGCCAUGCCGCGUGCGGGAGAAGGCCUGGUGUAACGCUUGU